ACUCCUGCGGGAGGCAGCAGUGGGGAAUUUUGGACAAUGGGCGAAAGCCUGAUCCAGCAAUGCCGCGUGAGUGAAGAAGGCCUUCGGGUUGUAAAGCUCUUUUGUCAGGGAAGAAACGGUGAAAGCUAAUAUCUUUUGCUAAUGACGGUACCUGAAGAAUAAGCACCGGCUAACUACGUGCCAGCAGCCGCGGUAAUACGUAGGGUGCAAGCGUUAAUCGGAAUUACUGGGCGUAAAGCGUGCGCAGGCGGUUUUGUAAGUCUGAUGUGAAAUCCCCGGGCUCAACCUGGGAAUUGCAUUGGAGACUGCAAGGCUAGAAUCUGGCAGAGGGGGGUAGAAUUCCACGUGUAGCAGUGAAAUGCGUAGAUAUGUGGAGGAACACCGAUGGCGAAGGCAGCCCCCUGGGUCAAGAUUGACGCUCAUGCACGAAAGCGUGGGGAGCAAACAGGAUUAGAAACCCUGGUAGUCCCAUG
rnacentral:rRNA from 1 species